rnacentral:lncRNA from 10 species
CUCGUCUUCAUUUUAUCCUUCCCUUUCCAGGACCUCUCACUGGCAAGAUCUAACUAAAAUACGGCUGGCAAUAAAAAUUUGGAAAGGUAAUCUGUGCGGUAUCAGAAACCUACAACACAUAAAAGAAGAACACAGGACAGAAAUCGACGCUGAAGGCAAGGAGGUAAAACUUGGAAGGAAUUUUGAAGAAGUGAAAACAAUUAUGUUGA